rnacentral:misc_RNA from 1 species
UACGUAGGGUGCGAGCGUUAAUCGGAAUUACUGGGCGUAAAGCGUGCGCAGGCGGCUCUAUAAGACAGAUGUGAAAUCCCCGGGCUUAACCUGGGAACUGCGUUUGUGACUGUAGGGCUUGAGUGCGGCAGAGGGGGGUGGAAUUCCACGUGUAGCAGUGAAAUGCGUAGAGAUGUGGAGGAACAUCGAUGGCGAAGACAGCCCCCUGGGUCGACACUGACGCUCAUGCACGAAAGCGUGGGGAGCAAACAGG